GGGAGUUUAGCUUAAUAGGUAGAGCAUUUAUCUUACAAAUAAAAGGAGGUUGUUCGAAUCAACCAUCUCCUA
rnacentral:tRNA from 1 species